rnacentral:rRNA from 1 species
UCGAGAAUUUUUCUCAAUGGGCGCAAGCCUGAAGGAGCGACGCCGCGUGGAGGAUGUAGGUCUUCGGAUUGUAAACUCCUGUCAUUGGUGAACAAAGCUUACGGUUUACUGCCGUGGAGCGUGCUAGUAGCCAAAGAGGAAGGGACGGCUAACUCUGUGCCAGCAGCCGCGGUAAUACAGAGGUCCCAAGCGUUGUUCGGAAUUAUUGGGCGUAAAGGGUGCGUAGGCGGUAGGAUAAGUUAGAUGUGAAAUGUCGGCGCUUAACGUCGAACCUGCAUUUAAGACUGUCCUGCUUGAGCGCUAGAGAGGAGUCUGGAAUUUACGGUGUAGCAGUGAAAUGCGUAGAUAUCGUAAGGAAGGCCAGUGGCGAAAGCGAGACUCUGGCUAGAUGCUGACGCUGAGGCACGAAAGCUGGGGGAGCAAACGG